AUUGAACGCUGGCGGCAGGCCUAACACAUGCAAGUCGAGCGGAUGAAGGGAGCUUGCUCCUGGAUUCAGCGGCGGACGGGUGAGUAAUGCCUAGGAAUCUGCCUGGUAGUGGGGGAUAACGUCCGGAAACGGGCGCUAAUACCGCAUACGUCCUGAGGGAGAAAGUGGGGGAUCUUCGGACCUCACGCUAUCAGAUGAGCCUAGGUCGGAUUAGCUAGUUGGUGGGGUAAAGGCCUACCAAGGCGACGAUCCGUAACUGGUCUGAGAGGAUGAUCAGUCACACUGGAACUGAGACACGGUCCAGACUCCUACGGGAGGCAGCAGUGGGGAAUAUUGGACAAUGGGCGAAAGCCUGAUCCAGCCAUGCCGCGUGUGUGAAGAAGGUCUUCGGAUUGUAAAGCACUUUAAGUUGGGAAGAAGGACAGUAAGUUAAUACCUUGCUGUUUUGACGUUACCAACAGAAUAAGCACCGGCUAACUUCGUG
rnacentral:rRNA from 1 species